CUAAUUACAGAGAUAGCGAGUAAGCGAGCGUAAGCGUGUGCAUUAGCGUUUGAUAGUCUGUAAUAGUGGAAGGGGAUGUAAACAGUUACUGGGUUGAGCGGCGUUGCGGGGAGCGGGGAAGAUAUUCCGUGUUGCUUUUCUACUCACAGCGAUGACCUGGAGCCUCUCCUCUUGCGACACCUCAUCCAUCCUAAAGGGGGAGAAUGAAAAGAAAGAGAGAGAGAGAGAGAGACAGAGAGAGAGAGAGAGAGAGAGAGAGAAGCAGUCUAGGAGAGCCGGUGGAGGCAUGCUAAUGUGCCAGCAGGAGAGUCCUGCUCUACUCAUAAUGUGUUCCAGACAAGAGGCGUGAGACCAUGAUGGGAGAAAGGACAGGAAAUGAACAACACAGAGAAGAGCAACAUUAACAGCAAAACAACCAAAUGGCAAUAACAGCAAUUGUCUCAUUCACACACAGAGUGACACAAACAUUGAACAUUUAACCAACAACCAACACACACACACUCAGAGACACAAGACUGCCUUCUGCUGCAUGUCAACAAGCCACAUCAGCGUCACAUGGACACCACAAUCAUCUGAUCGACCGCCGUCCAUGCAACACUCACGCUUUCUCAAUGUGCGCCUGCGCAGCCUCACAUGAAGGCUCCCGGUGUGGGAAAAGCAUUCCGCAUCAGUGUCUCCCAACAUUUAUU